UAGUGAGGCUACACCUGUGGUGGUCCGUGGGUUACUCGCUCAUACAAACGUUAAUUUUUCUCACUAACAACCCUAUGGCUUCUAAGCAAACAACAUUAACUUCUUUCUUUCGUAAACAGGCUGAGGAGCGUAACAAGAAUAACGUACAAGAUACUGAUAACAGUAAAAGUGACAAAAGCUAUGUUUCGCCUGCUUCUAGUUCAAAUUUUCUAACCGGGUCCAAAUGCAGUUCUGAAAGUAAUGGCCCUUCGAAGUCAGGCUUGUAUCCCUGUUCAGGAGUUUGGACUGAAGAAAUGUGGAAGAAAAAGAAGGAAACUUUUCCCUGGUUAGACCAAGGAUGAUAAACUUGGGUGUAAAACCCCCUCUAGUUCCGUGGAAUCCUGAGCUGUAUGUCACAUCAUGGCUGCAGUACCACAGAUCAGCAGAUGACACCAGGACAAGAGUUGCUUCAGACCCCCGAACACAUAUUACGCCUGACCCUUUGUGGAAAUUAUUGUGAAAUGUCUCAUUGGUGGCAUUUGCUUCCGUUGGGACUUGACGGCUGGAAUCUGGUCCAGACUCUCAAUGUUCCAUAAGCGCACCGUGGAGUCCUGGGAACAAGGAUAUAACUGAUGAGCUACUGAUCGAAAGAGAUACCUGAUCUAAUAACAGCAGUGAGGAGCAACAGGGGGAUCUUGGGGUCCAAGACCAUAUAUUCCUCAAAGUUGCCGUGCCACAAGGUAAUGUAGAUCAAUAAAAUCCUGGUUAGACCACAUCUGGAGUAUUGUGUUCAGUUCUGGUCGCCUCAUUAUCGGAAGAAUGUCGAAGCUUUAGAGCGGGUACAGAGGAGAUUUAUCAGGACACUUCCUGGAUCAGAGAGCAUGUCUUAUGAGGAUGGGUUGAGUGAGCUGGGCUUUUGUCUUUCAAGUGAAAGAGGAUAAGAGGUGACUUGAUAGAGAUGUACAAGAUGAUAAGAGGCAUAGAUCAAAUGGACAGCCAGAGACUUUAUCCCAGGAGAAAAACGACUAACAUGAG